GCCGGGAUAGCUCAGUUGGUAGAGCAGGGGACUGAAAAUCCUCGUGUCACCAGUUCAAAUAGCC
rnacentral:tRNA from 1 species